AUUCCAUAGUGUGGACACUUUCGCAUCAUAUUCUUGAAUUUAUUCUAGGCUUCAUCGAAAUUCUCCGAGUCGCCUUGGCAAAAAAUAGAGAUGUCGUGCUUGAGCUU
rnacentral:snoRNA from 1 species